CUCUUUUGUUAGGGAGCAAGGCAUUUUGUGUUGAGUGUACCUUUCGAAUAAGCACCGGCUAACUACGUGCCAGCAGCCGCGGUAAUACGUAGGGUGCAAGCGUUAUCCGGAAUUAUUGGGCGUAAAGGGCUCGUAGGCGGUUCGUCGCGUCCGGUGUGAAAGUCCAUCGCUUAACGGUGGAUCCGCGCCGGGUACGGGCGGGCUUGAGUGC
rnacentral:rRNA from 1 species